rnacentral:rRNA from 1 species
UUUCCGAAAGGGAUGCUAAUACCUUAUAAGCUCCCGGAUUUUAGAACUCUGGGAGAAAAGUUCCGGCGCUUUGAGAGGGGGCUGCGAGCCAUCAGCUAGUUGGUGUGGUAACGGCGCACCAAGGCGACGACGGCUAGGAGGCCUGAGAGGGUGACCUCCCACACUGGAACUGAGACACGGUCCAGACUCCUACGGGAGGCAGCAGUGAGGAAUAUUGCACAAUGGGCGCAAGCCUGAUGCAGCGACGCCGCGUGAGUGAUGAAGGCCUUCGGGUCGUAAAGCUCUUUUCUAGGUGAUGAGAAUGGACGGUAGCCUAGGAAUAAGUGUCGGCUAACUACGUGCCAGCAGCCGCGGUAAAACGUAGGACACAAGCGUUAUCCGGAGUUACUGGGCGUAAAGGGCGUGUAGGCGGAUUUGUAAGUCUACUCUGAAAGCUUCUGGCUAAACUGGAAGAGGCGAGUGGAGACUGCAAGUCUAGAGUGAGGAAGAGGAAAGUGGAAUUCCGCGUGUAGUGGUGAAAUGCGUAGAGAUGCGGAGGAACACCAGUGGCGAAAGCGGCUUUCUGGUCCUUAACUGACGCUGAGGCGCGAAAGCAUGGGGAGCGAACGGGAUUAGAAACCCCGGUAGUCCAUGCCGUAAACGAUGUUCACUAAACGUUCGUUUCCCGCGAGGGAAGCGGGUGUUGAAGCUAACGCAGUAAGUGAACCGCCUGGGGAGUACGGUGGCAAGGCUAAAACUCAAAGGAAUUGACGGGGGACCGCACAAGCAGCGGAGCGUGUGGUUUAAUUCGAGUCUACACGAAGAACCUUACCUAGGUUUGACAUCGUAGUGAAGUCUGCGUGAAAGCGUGGAUGUCCCGCAAGGGACACUAUGACAGGUGCUGCAUGGCUGUCGUCAGCUCGUGCCGUGAGGUGUUCGGUUAAGUCCGCAAACGAGCGCAACCCUCGGUGCCAGUUACAAGUGUCUGGCGCGACUGCCCGUGGCAAACGGGAGGAAGGUGGGGAUGACGUCAAGUCAGCAUGGCCUUUAUAUCUAGGGCUACACACACGCUACAAUGGCGCGUACAAUGGGUCGCGAACCUGCGAAGGGGAGCCAAUCCUAAAAAGCGCGUCUCAGUUCAGAUUGCAGGCUGCAACCCGCCUGCAUGAAGUUGGAGUUGCUAGUAACCGCGCGUCAGCAGAGUGCGGUGAAUACGUUCCCGGUCCUUGUACACACCGCCCGUCACGUCAUGAGAGCUGGUGACGCCUGAAGUCGGGAAGCUAACCGCAAGGGGGCUACUGCCGAGGGCAGCACUGGUGAUUGGGACGAAGUCGUAACAAGGUA